rnacentral:misc_RNA from 1 species
GUAAUUAAUUCGAAUGCUUUUGAGGGCAAACAAAGAUAAGACAUUCUAAGACAUGCAAUGGGGUAUAUAUGAAAACAUAGGAAAAGCUACAAAGAGAAAGCCUCGCGGCUUCCUCCCUUCGCCUCCCUACAAGAAGUGCACAGGGGUUGAGAAUGAUCGAUCGGAGCGUGCACAUUCCCGGUGAAGGGACAGCGACAACUCGUCUCUGAAGAUUCGAUAAUGAUCCUUCCGCAGGUUCACCUACGGAAA